rnacentral:rRNA from 1 species
GAGCCAGUCACCGCGGUGCGAGCGCCCAGUCCCGGCCGCCGCCAGCGCUCGAUGCUGACCGCCGUGUCCAAGUUCCGCAACAAAUCCGGUCUCGCCAGCACCACCCGUGUUAUGCCCUUCUUCCUCUCCACCUUCCCCGCCCACGCCACCGCCGCUCCGCUCUGCCCUCCUCCGUCCCCAUACCCUAGCCCCCACUUCCGCCUCCCUUCCCUGCCCCGCCGCGGCCUCGCCUUCCUCGCCGCCGCUGCGCCGCCGCGGGCCCUGCCCCCCACGCCCAGGCAGGCCAUGGCGUCGCUGGCGACGUCGACGGCGGCCGCCGCCGCCGCGGAGGUGACGCACCUCUCGCAGCGCGACGCUGCGGAUAUCGACGAGCAGCUCAUGGGCCCCCUCGGUUUCAGCGUCGACCAGCUCAUGGAGCUCGCCGGGCUAAGCGUCGCUACGGCCGUCGCGGAGGUUUAUAAGCUGAGUGAGCAUACGAGGGCUCUUAUCAUCUGUGGUCCGGGAAAUAAUGGUGGUGAUGGUCUGGUUGCUGCUCGCCAUCUUUAUCAUUUUGGAUACAAGCCCUUUGUUUGUUAUCCAAAACGUACCGCCAAACCUCUUUAUUCUGGCCUUGUUACUCAGCUUGAAUCGCUGGCUAUCCCGUUUGUGCCUGUUGAAGACCUACCUCAGGACUUAUCAGGGCAGUAUGACAUUGUUAUUGACGCGAUGUUUGGUUUCUCAUUUCAUGGAACACCCCGACCACCCUUUGAUGAUCUUAUCCAAAUGCUUGUUUCAUUGAGUGUUGUUGGUGAUUCAGCGAAAAGACCACCAAUUGUUUCUGUUGAUAUCCCUUCUGGGUGGCAUGUAGAAGAGGGAGAUGUCAGUGGAGGAGGAAUUAAGCCUGAUAUGCUGGUAUCAUUGACUGCACCAAAGCUCUGUGCCAAAAAAUUUACUGGGCCCCACCAUUUCCUAGGGGGUAGGUUUGUCCCGCCUCCCAUUUCGAGCAAAUAUGGGCUCGAACUUCCACCAUAUCCUGGAACCUCCAUGUGUGUAAGAAUUGGAAAAGUGCCGUCAGUUGACAUUUCAUCUCUCAGGGAGAAUUAUAUUUCCCCAGAACUUCUUGAGAACCAAGUGAUGCCUAAUCCAUUUGACCAGUUUCGUAGUUGGUUUGAUGAAGCAGUUACUGCUGGCCUGCGCGAACCAAAUGCCAUGGCUUUAACAACUGUCAAUAAAGCGGGAAAGCCUUCUUCAAGAAUGGUUCUUUUAAAAGGCGUUGAUAAGCAGGGAUUUGUUUGGUACACAAAUUACGGUAGCCAAAAAGCACAUGAUUUAUCGGAAAAUUCAAAUGCGGCACUUCUUUUCUACUGGAAUGAGAUGAACCGACAGGUUAGAGUAGAAGGGUCAGUUCAGAAGGUCUCAGAAGAAGAAUCUGAGAAGUAUUUCCACAGCCGCCCACGUGGAAGUCAGCUUGGUGCUAUUGUUAGCAAGCAGAGCACUGUCAUUUCUGGAAGAGAAGUUCUCCAACAAGCGUACAAGGAAUUGGAACAAAAAUAUUCUGAUGGUAGCUUCAUCCCAAAACCUGAUUACUGGGGUGGGUACAGAUUGACACCAAAUCUUUUUGAGUUCUGGCAAGGCCAACAGUCUCGUCUGCAUGACCGGCUACAGUAUUCACAGCGAGAAGUAGGUGGGAGUACAGAAUGGCACAUCCAAAGGUUGUCCCCUUGAUCAGUAACCUCCUUAAAGCUCUCGCCUCUUGGUAAUAAAAGGGGGUGUCGUUUUGGUACCUGCGCACACUUGCUCCUGGUACCUAAUGGACUGCAAUUUCUUGAUUGGAGAUGUGUGCUAGAUGUAUUUUCGUGAUAUAUAUGUGAAUGCAGAAAAGCAGGAUACAUGAGGCGUAUAAGCCGAUUUAAUGCAGCAGGCCCAAACUCGCGAGGCAGGCUGUGAAGAUUGCUGUUAUGUUGCUCGUUUGUUUGAUGGCUGGCGCUACUCCGAACUCACAUGGGCCAUCGGCCCAGGAUGUGCAACCCUUAUGUUCCAUGGUUUCCAGCCUGUAACCGAGGGCUCUCUUCACACUGGAUACUUCUCAUGUGCUACUAUUUCUUAGUGUCUCGACUCUUUUCACAUAAAUGAAUUGGUGAAAGUCUGAACUUGCUGACAAAUAUGUAGAGUCCAUUUUUCCUGUAUUGACGACCGAGCUUGUCAGGGUUGUGUGUUGACAAAUUAUAUGGUAUUUUCCUAUUAAAAAACUUACAUGGUAUAUUAAAUGUACAUGGUUU